GCAGGCUGCAACUCGCCUGCAUGAAGUCGGAAUUGCUAGUAAUCGCAGAUCAGCAUGCUGCGGUGAAUACGUUCCCGGGCCUUGUACACACCGCCCGUCACACCAUGGGAGUCGGAAAUGCCCGAAGUCAGUGACCCAACCGUAAGGAGGGAGCUGCCGAAGGUGGAGCCGGUAACUGGGGUGAAGUCGUAACAAGGUACC
rnacentral:rRNA from 1 species